AGGUUGAGGAGGCGGUGACCGUGGUGGUGUAGGUGGAAGAUGAGGUAGCCAACACAGUUUUAUAUAUAUAUUUUUUUUAAUUGGGGUAGCCCCCCAAAUAUUGGGACAUAUAAAAAAAAAAAAAAGACAACUCUGUUCCGCAGAGUAGCUGUUGACAUUAUAGUUGCACAGGCAUUUUGACUCUAGAGAACCUCGGGCCAAUCGCACAUCCCUGUGACGGCGACUUUGCAUUCGGAUGUCAUUCAUAUCAACUUUCUAUGCCAGUUUCUGCGCCUACCAUGGUGACCAUGGGUAACAGGGAAUCAGGGUUCCAUUCCAUACAGGUACCCUGAGAAACAGCUACCACAUGCAAGGAAGACA
rnacentral:rRNA from 1 species